rnacentral:rRNA from 1 species
AGAACGCUGAAGAGAGGAGCUUGCUCUUCUUGGAUGAGUUGCGAACGGGUGAGUAACGCGUAGGUAACCUGCCUGGUAGCGGGGGAUAACUAUUGGAAACGAUAGCUAAUACCGCAUAAAAUUGAUUAUUGCAUGAUAAUUAAUUGAAAGAUGCAAUUGCAUCACUACCAGAUGGACCUGCGUUGUAUUAGCUAGUUGGUGAGGUAACGGCUCACCAAGGCGACGAUACAUAGCCGACCUGAGAGGGUGAUCGGCCACACUGGGACUGAGACACGGCCCAGACUCCUACGGGAGGCAGCAGUAGGGAAUCUUCGGCAAUGGGGGGAACCCUGACCGAGCAACGCCGCGUGAGUGAAGAAGGUUUUCGGAUCGUAAAGCUCUGUUGUAAGAGAAGAACGGGUGUGAGAGUGGAAAGUUCACACUGUGACGGUAUCUUACCAGAAAGGGACGGCUAACUACGUGCCAGCAGCCGCGGUAAUACGUAGGUCCCGAGCGUUGUCCGGAUUUAUUGGGCGUAAAGCGAGCGCAGGCGGUUAGAUAAGUCUGAAGUUAAAGGCUGUGGCUUAACCAUAGUAUGCUUUGGAAACUGUUUAACUUGAGUGCAGAAGGGGAGAGUGGAAUUCCAUGUGUAGCGGUGAAAUGCGUAGAUAUAUGGAGGAACACCGGUGGCGAAAGCGGCUCUCUGGUCUGUAACUGACGCUGAGGCUCGAAAGCGUGGGGAGCAAACAGGAUUAGAUACCCUGGUAGUCCACGCCGUAAACGAUGAGUGCUAGGUGUUAGGCCCUUUCCGGGGCUUAGUGCCGCAGCUAACGC